ACGAACGCUGGCGGCGUGCUUAACACAUGCAAGUCGAACGGAAAGGCCCUGCUUUUGUGGGGUGCUCGAGUGGCGAACGGGUGAGUAACACGUGAGUAACCUGCCCUUGACUUUGGGAUAACUUCAGGAAACUGGGGCUAAUACCGGAUAGGAGCUCCUGCUGCAUGGUGGGGGUUGGAAAGUUUCGGCGGUUGGGGAUGGACUCGCGGCUUAUCAGCUUGUUGGUGGGGUAGUGGCUUACCAAGGCUUUGACGGGUAGCCGGCCUGAGAGGGUGACCGGCCACAUUGGGACUGAGAUACGGCCCAGACUCCUACGGGAGGCAGCAGUGGGGAAUAUUGCACAAUGGGCGGAAGCCUGAUGCAGCAACGCUGCGUGCGGGAUGACGGCCUUCGGGUUGUAAACCGCUUUCGCCUGUGACGAAGCGUGAGUGACGGUAAUGGGUAAAGAAGCACCGGCUAACUACGU
rnacentral:rRNA from 1 species